GACGAACGCUGGCGGCGUGCUUAACACAUGCAAGUCGAACGGAAAGGCCCUGCUUUUGUGGGGUGCUCGAGUGGCGAACGGGUGAGUAACACGUGAGUAACCUGCCCUUGACUUUGGUAUAACUUCAGGAAACUGGGGCUAAUACCGGAUAGGAGCUCCUGCUGCAUGGUGGGGGUUGGAAAGUUUCGGCGGUUGGGGAUGGACGCGCGGCUUAUCAGCUUGUUGGUGGGGUAGUGGCUUACCAAGGCUUUGACGGGUAGCCGGCCUGAGAGGGUGACCGGCCACAUUGGGACUGAGAUACGGCCCAGACUCCUACGGGAGGCAGCAGUGGGGAAUAUUGCACAAUGGGCGGAAGCCUGAUGCAGCAACGCCGCGUGCGGGAUGACGGCCUUCGGGUUGUAAACCGCUUUCGCCUGUGACGAAGCGUGAGUGACGGUAAUGGGUAAAGAAGCACCGGCUAACUACGUG
rnacentral:rRNA from 1 species